rnacentral:lncRNA from 1 species
UUAGUUUGGGACUAAGAAAGGCAACCUCGGGAGGAGGCGAGCCUUGCGAUGAUGAAACUUCUAGGACAGUCUCCCCUCGCCCGCCACCCUGUGCAGGGCCUAGCAUAGCACGGCCAGAGCCACGGGAAAGGGCGGGGCAGGGAAGUCUGGAGAUGGGGGCGUGGAGAGGCUCGGCCGGGACCCCUACGCAUGCGCACCGCGACAAUUCACGAUGCCCGCCUACUGGCGCCCUAGCAACCGGGUUGCGAACCACCGUUUAUCCCGACUAAGUGGCUAUCCUGGGAGUUCUAGUGCCACUAGCUGGCUUCGGCUCUUCCCUGUCCGAGGUUCUUGUAAUUUCCGCUUAUUUCCUCCACGGGUGCCGAUUUCAUGUGUGUGUCCCCGAGUGCCUAAGCCGGCUCCUGAAAUGAGUACUCGUGGUUUCCGCGUGGGAACCAACCUCGAGCGCCAGUAGCCCUCACUCUACGGGCUGAGGUGGUUGCUGGGGCUGGGGCUGCUCCUGAGGCUUCAGGGCCGCCCGCUGCACGGCUUUCUACCUCCCCAGGCUAAUCGCAGUCAAUCUGCCAGGCGGAGCAAGAAAUCGCAUUUUGUCAGUUUUCUUUUAACAAAACAGAAAUGUGUAAAAGUUUGUGUAAAAUCUUACGAUCAAGACCAAAUGGACAAGCUGGCUUUUUUGAAGAAAGGAAUACGACUGAAUUACCAGCAUCACUGCUAUAAGCAUUCAGAUGAAAACCCUGUCACUUGUAAUGGACCCCCUGUGGAAAUUCCUGGAGAAUAUACGGAUAAGUUGAAUGUGACUUACACUUAUUCUGUGAGAUUGAAGAAAACAAAACUGUCAAGUGGGCUUCUAGGUGGGAUUAGAUUUUGGAGUCUGUGUCUCAUACUAAUAUUCAGUGGUUUAGCAUUUAAAGGUGUUAAGUGGAAGACAAAUGCCUUGCUGACAGCACUAUUAUGUCCGGGGUUAGUAUCUCACAUUCUCUUUUCCCUAUGCAAUUAUAUGCUUCCUUAUACUUCAUCUUGGAAAAAAAAAUCAUUGUAUACUAUAACAAAGAGUAGGAGGGACAUGAAUGACCACUGUGCUUUGUGUAGUCGCAGCAUUCACUUUCUGUUGUAUCUGCAUUCUUUCUUUCUUUUUUUUUUUUUUUGGACAUCUUAA